rnacentral:rRNA from 1 species
GGGGAAUAUUGCACAAUGGAGGAAACUCUGAUGCAGCGAUGCCGCGUGAGGGAAGAAGGUUUUAGGAUUGUAAACCUCUGUCUUCGGGGGCGAAAAAAAGACGGUACCUGAGGAGGAAGCUCCGGCUAACUACGUGCCAGCAGCCGCGGUAAUACGUAGGGAGCGAGCGUUGUCCGGAAUUACUGGGUGUAAAGGGAGCGUAGGCGGGAUCGCAAGUCAGAUGUGAAAACUAUGGGCUUAACCCAUAAACUGCAUUUGAAACUGUGGUUCUUGAGUGAAGUAGAGGUAAGCGGAAUUCCUAGUGUAGCGGUGAAAUGCGUAGAUAUUAGGAGGAACAUCAGUGGCGAAGGCGGCUUACUGGGCUUUAACUGACGCUGAGGCUCGAAAGCGUGGGGAGCAAACAGGAUUAGAUACCCUGGUAGUCCACGCCGUAAACGAUGAUUACUAGGUGUGGGGGACUGACCCCUUCCGUGCCGCAGCAAACGCAAUAAGUAAUCCACCUGGGGAGUACGACCGCAAGGUUGAAACUCAAAGGAAUUGACGGGGGCCCGCACAAGCAGUGGAGUAUGUGGAUUAAUUCGAAGCAACGCGAAGAACCUUACCAGGUCUUGACAUCGUAUGCAUAGCUCAGAGAUGAGUGAAAUCUCUUCGGAGACAUAUAGACAGGUGGUGCAUGGUUGUCGUCAGCUCGUGUCGUGAGAUGUUGGGUUAAGUCCCGCAACGAGCGCAACCCUUACUGUUAGUUGCUACGCAAGAGCACUCUAGCAGGACUGCCGUUGACAAAACGGAGGAAGGUGGGGAUGACGUCAAAUCAUCAUGCCCCUUAUGACCUGGGCCUCACACGUACUACAAUGGCUGUCAACAGAGGGAAGCAAAGCCGCGAGGUGGAGCGAACCCCUAAAAGCAGUCUUAGUUCGGAUUGUAGGCUGCAACCCGCCUACAUGAAGUCGGAAUUGCUAGUAAUCGCAGAUCAGCAUGCUGCGGUGAAUACGUUCCCG